AGUCUCCUUCCACAAAACCAUGGCGUCGCUCAAAUGUAGCACCGUCGUCUGCGUGAUCUGCUUGGAGAAGCCCAAAUACCGCUGUCCAGCCUGCCGCGUGCCCUAAACAGUGCAACCCUGAAACUCGUCCUGUUGAGAAAAAAAUAAGAUCAGCUCUUCCUACCAAAACCGUAAAGCCUGUGGAAAACAAAGGUGGGUUGGUUGACUUCAAACAAAUCUACAAGGGACUUCACAUAGAAUAAGUCGAAGGAAAAGGGGAGAGUGGGGCUGGUCAGGGAAUCCAGAACAAUAGCUUCAUUGGGAAGGAACAGCUUCCUUAGCCUUGAGCAUCAGGAGUGGGGCCAUGUCAUCAUGGGUGAUAUUGAGGCAACAGCCUGAAAGCAGUAUUCAGGAGAAGAAAAAUGGGCAGAAGACAGAGAUGAGAAAGGCCAUGGCUGUGGUUUGGGGGUUUGCGGUGGGCCCUGCUGGCAGGAGCCUUCUCUAGCCCAUAGCUGCUGGUCUCCCUCCAUGAAUCUGGCUGGGACUGUCAGUUCACCUGAACUCAGCCCAGGCAGGAGGCUU
rnacentral:lncRNA from 1 species